rnacentral:rRNA from 1 species
AAAACGACUCUUCGCAAUGGAUAUCUCGGCUCUCGCAUCGAUGAAGAGCGCAGCGAAAUGCGAUACGUGGUGCGAAUUGCAGAAUCCCGCGAACCAUCGAGUCUUUGAACGCAAGUUGCGCCGAGGCCAACCGGCCAAGGGCACGUUUGCUUGGGCGUCAAGC